rnacentral:rRNA from 1 species
UACGUAGGGGGCAAGCGUUGUCCGGAUUUAUUGGGCGUAAAGAGCGUGUAGGCGGCCAUGUAGGUCCGGUGUGAAAACUCGAGGCUUAACCUCGAGAUGUCAUCGGAAACUAUUUGGCUAGAGUCCGGAAGAGGAGAGUGGAAUUCCUGGUGUAGCGGUGAAAUGCGCAGAUAUCAGGAAGAACACCAAUGGCGAAAGCAGCUCUCUGGGACGGUACUGACGCUGAGACGCGAAAGCGUGGGGAGCGAACAGG